GGCGUUGAUUGUCCAAACGCAAUUCUUGAUGAAUUUGAACAAGGGUUGUGUUGGGACGUCAUUGCU
rnacentral:pre_miRNA from 1 species